AGACUUCAAAACAAGUGUGAUGUGGUGGCUUGAAAUAUUCUUAACCCUAGGGUAGGGUACUUAACCCUAGGAUUAGGGCAUGUGGGUAAUGGGAAGACAAAAUGAGUAAUACAUUAAAAGUCAUUGGAGAUAUUCAUAAGAGAUCAAGUUUGAUGGAUUUGAGUGGCACAAAAACUCUAGAGUGCUCAAAACCCUAAAAGGAACCCUAGAAAACCCUAAUUUGUACCCUAGGGUGUGAUUUGAAAUUCUAUACAUUUUUGGAACAAAGUGUAUAUAUAUAAAUGGUAGAACAUCAAAAAGCAAGCAACUUUUACAUUGGAGGAUUUUCAAGUAAUGUGGAGCAAAUUGGACUUAAGUGCAAAAAGCCUCUAAGGCAUCUAUGUGACAAACUCUCAAAUUUCAGUGUAAUUAGGCCAAGUUUGAGGCCUUAUAUUUCAAAAUCUAUGAGGAUUUUGCAAUGGGUCAACACAUCAAACUUAUAGAGCUAUGAUAGGAGUACAAAUUUUAUUAAGUGAUUAAGUCCUAAAGCUACAUGGAAAUGGGAGAAAAAUAGACCUGAAGUUGGUCUGUCAGUCGACCUUAACACUGAAUUUUGACUAUCAGUAAGUUGACAUGAACUUUGAGAUUGAUUUGCGGGGAUCCAGUGAAUGUUUGAUCAAGGUCUUUAUAACAAAAUUAAAGCUGGUACAUUGCACAACAACUUUGAUGUAGUUGCAUUAGCAGUUUGCCACAUAAAAAUUCAAGAAAAACGCCCUUCAAUGUGCCCUGUCAGGCGCUUUAAAGAAGAUCUUCAUGGUACAGUGUCUGAAAAUAUCAGUGAUGCAGUGCACCUCGCCGCCGGUGACCUCCACGCCACAAUCCGCACCGGCCGUUGUGGUUCGUGCUCGGCCCAGGGAGGAUAUUACCGUGGGACGUAAAAAGAUUGGAGGGGGAAAGGAUCGGGCCGGCCUCACCGUACCCACUUGCCCGGCGACGUGGCCAUGCAACCAUCACCGUGGUUGCCGCCGCUCACUUUGGUUGUGCCAUGCCAUGAGUCGCGUGUCACCUCGCCGUUGGUCGUGUGAGAUAGUCGCUUACCCUCCCCGGCUUUACCCUCAUUGAGCGCCACGUCUGGCGAACUCCAGUGACUCACCACGACGCCACCUAACCUCCCUCUUGUCCAAUAUUCGGAGCCACUGCUCUGGUAGGCUAUAAAUUGAGUACACCAUUAGCUCUGCUAGGUUGUUAUGAAGCCAGAGCACCAGCCCUCGCCUCCGAUUAGCCACCGUAGCACCCUAAUUCUGUUCUUCCGCCCAAAUUGGCCAAAACCACCGCCGUUAGCAUCUCGUCGUGGUCAGCCACCUCCAGGUCCGCUCUCGCCCUCCUAGUUUGUGUUUCGGCACUCUCAUGUGCGUGUGAUACUCGUCGGCUCGGCCAAAUUGGCUAUAUCGCGCUAGAACAUCAGGAACACGUCGGGAAGGUCGCUAGCUCCAUGGUGUACGUGGACUAAACUCUAGGAUGGUGUUUAGGUUAGAUUAAUGGCUCCCAGUGGAUCGCCAAAGUUAGAAUUAGGUGUAGACCGAGUUAGGACGCUGGUUGUUGCGUAUUCCGGCCAGUACAGGUUCACCAGAGAACGUGCACGCCGUCGUUCACCGGAGAACUGCAUAUUCAUAGCAUCACCUGAGCAUUCAUGUAUAUGUAUUGUUAUGUAUAGAAAACGAAGAAGAAGUAGUAGUCGAAGAAGAAGUUGCCCCGCAAGCUAAAAUUCCACCUAUCGAGGACAACUUCUACUUUGAUAUCUGUGGGACAGACCCUGAGCCUCCUACAACACAAGGCAAGCCCCGGUGCAUUUACCACUUUUCUUGUUUUAAAUUCUUUAUCACUUGAAAUGAUGCAUUAGGUGAUUGGAGUUGUGUGCUAACCAAUUGCUGCAUUCCCUUCAUUGGAACUGAUUACCAUUCCUUGAUACCUGAUUUUACUUAAAAAUUUUCUGAUGCUUAGCCUUGCUUUAGAAAACAAAAUGUUUUGAAUUUAAGAAAAGAUGAUGCUUCAUAUGGGAUGGGAAUUUUUCAAAGAAAAGAUUUGAUGGUGAAUCCAUCAUGGCCAUGAUGGGUUCAACAUCGAAAAAGAUGUACCUCUGACAGGUACCAAACUUUGGGGUUGUAAAUGAUAAAGACGAGACUGGGCAGGUGACUUGCACGAGAAGGAAGUCUCGGUGUAGUGUCUCCGUCUGAGUCGAUUAAGGACCGUGUCGAUGUAGGCUUGAUGAUCGAGGACCUUUUAACUGGCCACAUGCCUCGUCAUGGGUAAGCUUUGCCUCGGUCUAACCAAUACCAGAAAGGCCACCACGCAAUGCGAGUGGAGAGAUGGCGAGAGUAGCGUGUACCCUCCAUGGCAAGAGGCUGGACGGUGGUGUAUCUGUGCUCUCGGUUGGGGUGAACCCGGUCUGGUCUUGAGAAACCUAGUGGCGAGUUGACAUAUGCAAGGGUUAAGUGCUAUAUAUGUCGUGUGGUUGGAGAUCCCCAGCUGGGUAUUAAUCGAUUCAGAUCGCCGUUACUUCUCAGACAUGAAGAGUUGGUCACUGACUUACACGUAGCAAUCCUGAAAUAAAGGGUUGAUAAAAGAUGGCUAGUAUAGGCUAAGUGUCUGAACUAGGAUGGAAAGAACUCUAGAUACAGGUAAUGACUUAACAUGAUAAUAAAACUGGAUUUCUAAGGAUCCACUGUUAGUAAGCAUUUCUGCACUCCUUGAGAGUCUUUUCCUUUGUCGGCUAAGACUUGAGAAAGUACACUCUGUACUCAUGGUUUUCGAACCCAUGUUGUUGUAGGUGAUGAAACAGCGAAGUUUUGUUUUUUCUGCUCGAAGGUGGUGCUAAAGGAGGAGGCCAAUCUGUAAACUAUUUGGGGAGGAUGUGUUGCCUCCUAGUUUAAAACACUAAGCUUUUGUGUGGGAGGAUGUUUUACCUCCCUGUUUUGUAAUAAUAAGUUAUGCACUCAUAACACCCGGUGAAGCGCUCUUGGGCGAUAUGAUGAUGAUACAGAUGACCAAACUUGUCUAGUGAUUAUGUGCAUCUACAUGGUUGUACGAGGUCCUUAGGACAAGGACAUCUGUAGGUGGGCCUAAUACCUUGGAAGUUCCAUGACAGGUGGUACCAAUGGAGGAGACAAAUCAGUGAACGUGUUAGUGGGAGGAUGUUUUACCUCCCUGUUUGUAAUAAUAAGUUAUGCACUCAGACACCCAAUACUGUAAUAAAUACUCUCCCUAUAUUUUUAUAAAUGUAAAUUAAGUUAUUGUAA